CUUCUAAGAGGACGUGGUGUGCAACUUGCGGUGGCUCAAUUUAAUAUAGGCAAUGGUAGAAGCAUCAUAUUGGGUCAGGAUCCAUGGCUCCCAACAAUGAUCUUGACUACUUCGAAUUAAACCAAAUGUUGAUCCGAGCUUACCAGUUCAAGUUCAACUCCACACAAGUACGGAACUCUGGAAAGAGGAGGAUAUAUGCAUGCAAAUCUAUGUCUCCAAUGAACAUAAUGAGGAUAUUUUUCUGUCUUUUUUGGGGACAAACAGGAAUUGCGA